GGGGUCCUAGCUGCGUUGCCCUGGUAACAACUGUAAACAAAAGGCUGUGGUUAACUGCUCCGCUCCCUGACAGGAUUUUUCAUUCAUUCGUGCCAAUGAAACAGGAGGCCUCGAUUCAUGCAGAAGAUAUGGUUUGAAACCCAGACAGCACGAAGCAUCUUGCCGACGUCAAAAUCAGAUCAACAGACAGGGACAUCAGCCUUCUCUUGGGAAUAGGCCAGAUAUGCCAUAACAAGAAAUGGUGUUUUGCCCCUGCGGUUGUGAAGAGGAUGCUGUGGAGGUGGCAGCAUGAACGUGUCACACAGACAUUGGCUAAACUACUCGGCUUCUACACUUGCCCUCAGAGUUCACAUAUGGUGAAGUGCACAGGUGUCCAGUCAGGUUCAGACUGAUGCUGGUAACAAGAGGAAAACAUGCUAAUUGAUGACCUUUCCAGCAUGUCCAACUCAUCAGCAUCAGGGGAGGAGAGUCGGUGAAGGUGGUGCACCAUCCAGGACCAGUCAUGGGCCACCAACACCUCUGCAAAAUCUGCACUUCUUGUGAACCCUCUAGAAGACACUACAACCACAAAACUGCUAAUAAACCAUCACAUACUACAUCA